rnacentral:rRNA from 1 species
UACGUAGGGUGCAAGCGUUGUCCGGAAUUAUUGGGCGUAAAGAGCUCGUAGGCGGUUCGUCGCGUCGGCUGUGAAAACCCGGAGCUCAACUCCGGGCCUGCAGUCGAUACGGGCAGACUAGAGUGCUGUAGGGGAGACUGGAAUUCCUGGUGUAGCGGUGAAAUGCGCAGAUAUCAAGAGGAACACCUGAGGUGAAGACGGGUUGCUGGGCCAACACGUGACGCUGAGGCGCGAAAGCCAGGGGAGCAAACGGG